ACUGAACGCUGGCGGCAGGCUUAACACAUGCAAGUCGAGCGGGGUGAUGGUGCUUGCACUAUCACUUAGCGGCGGACGGGUGAGUAAUGCUUAGGAAUCUGCCUAUUAGUGGGGGACAACAUCUCGAAAGGGAUGCUAAUACCGCAUACGUCCUACGGGAGAAAGCAGGGGAUCACUUGUGACCUUGCGCUAAUAGAUGAGCCUAAGUCGGAUUAGCUAGUUGGUGGGGUAAAGGCCUACCAAGGCGACGAUCUGUAGCGGGUCUGAGAGGAUGAUCCGCCACACUGGGAGCGGGACACGGCCCAGACGCCUACGGGAGGCAGCAGUGGGGAAUAUUGGACAAUGGGGGGAACCCUGAUCUAGCCAUGCCGCGUGUGUGAAGAAGGCCUUAUGGUUGUAAAGCACUUUAAGCGAGGAGGAGGCUCUUUUGGUUAAUACCCAAGAUGAGUGGACGUUACUCGCAGAAUAAGCACCGGCUAACUCUGUGCCAGCCGCCGCCGUAA
rnacentral:rRNA from 1 species